UACGGGGGGUGCAAGCGUUGUUCGGAUUUAUUGGGCGUAAAGCGCGUGUAGGCGGUUUGUUAAGUCUGUUGUGAAAGCCCUGGGCUCAACCCGGGAAGUGCACUGGAUACUGGCAGACUUGAAUACGGGAGAGGAGAGUGGAAUUCCUGGUGUAGGAGUGAAAUCCGUAGAUAUCAGGAGGAAUACCGAUGGCGAAGGCAGGUCUCUGGGUUAACACUGACGCUCAUGCACGAAAGCGUGGGGAGCAAACAGG
rnacentral:rRNA from 1 species